rnacentral:rRNA from 1 species
AGAGUUUGAUCCUGGCUCAGGACGAACGCUGGCGGUGUGCUUCACACAUGCAAGUCGAACGAGGUAGCAAUACCUAGUGGCGGACGGGUGAGUAACGCGUGGGAAUCUGCCCAAGGGUGGGGGAUAACUAGCCGAAAGGUUAGCUAAUACCGCAUAUGCCGUGAGGUAAAAGGAGUAAUCCGCCCCUGGAUGAGCCUGCGUCCGAUUAGCUAGUUGGUAGGGUAAAGGCCUACCAAGGCUACGAUCGGUAGCUGGUCUGAGAGGAUGAUCAGCCACAAUGGGACUGAGACACGGCCCAUACUCCUACGGGAGGCAGCAGUGGGGAAUUUUACGCAAUGGGGGAAACCCUGACGUAGCGACACCGCGUGAGCGAAGAAGCCCUUUGGGGUGUAAAGCUCUGUCAGCAGGAACGAAUAAAAUGACGGUACCUGCAGAGGAAGCAUCGGCUAACUACGUGCCAGCAGCCGCGGUAAGACGUAGGAUGCAAGCGUUGUCCGGAUUCAUUGGGCGUAAAGAGUUCGUAGGCGGUUUGUUAAGUCUGAUGUUAAAGAUCGGGGCCUAACCCUGGGAGUGCAUUGGAUACUGGCAGACUGGAGUACAGUAGAGGCGAGUGGAAUUCCCAGUGUAGCGGUGAAAUGCGUAGA